rnacentral:rRNA from 1 species
UUUUCAACGUGUGGCUCCCAACCCAAUGUGAACGUUACCAAACUGUUGCCUCGGCGGGAUCUCUGCCCCGGGUGCGUCGCAGCCCCGGACCAAGGCGCCCGCCGGAGGACCAACCAAAACUCUUAUUGUAUACCCCCUCGCGGGUUUUUUUAUAAUCUGAGCCUUCUCGGCGCCUCUCGUAGGCGUUUCGAAAAUGAAUCAAAACUUUCAACAACGGAUCUCUUGGUUCUGGCAUCGAUGAAGAACGCAGCGAAAUGCGAUAAGUAAUGUGAAUUGCAGAAUUCAGUGAAUCAUCGAAUCUUUGAACGCACAUUGCGCCCGCCAGUAUUCUGGCGGGCAUGCCUGUCCGAGCGUCAUUUCAACCCUCGAACCCCUCCGGGGGGUCGGCGUUGGGGAUCGGCCCUGCCUUGGCGGUGGCCGUCUCCGAAAUACAGUGGCGGUCUCGCCGCAGCCUCUCCUGCGCAGUAGUUUGCACACUCGCAUCGGGAGCGCGGCGCGUCCACAGCCGUUAAACACCCAACUUCUGAAAUGUUGACCUCGGAUCAGGUAGGAAUACCCGCUGAACUUAAGCAUAUCAAAAGCCCGGAAGGAA